CGCAGGUAAAGCGUUUAAAUUUUCUUUUCUUGGCAACCCAAAUUGUGGGAAAAGUCUGAUAUAAAAUAUGUGCGCCAAUAACAAGGGUCGUAGCAUAAAAAUGAAAUGAAAAAAAUCAGUAUACUUUAUUGUUUUACGGGUAUCGAAUUGUCUUUUGCAUAACAUCAAUAUAAAUUGUGAAAUAAAAUGAUUUAGCAUUAGACGCCUUGCAAGGGGUAUUAUAUGUUAUUUUCUAACAAAUUGUGCAAUAUUUUUGGGGAUUGCUUUAAGAAUUAAAUAAGGCUUCGAUUAAAUUUAAUUCACAAUUUAGGUGACAGUCUGUUAAAUUCAAGACACUUUGCCAGAGCCAAUUAAAUGCAUGGCAUUUGCAUAUUUGAUAAGCACUUGGUCAACUAAUUAGUGGAAUUUACAGCUACGAGUGCGAGUGCUCGCAUAAAAUCAAGUUAUUAUUCGAAUUGAUGCAGUACGAGAUAACAAGACAAAAAAAUAGAAUUGAAAUUCAAAACCAUAAAACCAAAAAGUGAGCAAGUUUCUGGCAGAGCGGAAAACAUUCGGGAAAGUUAAUAAAGCCAAGGAUAAGCACUCCAGCUCUGCCCUGAUGACAACUUGACGUAGCAGAAGCUGAAGCAGCCACAGUAGCAUCAUCAUCAACAUCUCAUCUCAUCAUCUCGCAACCGCAGAGCUCAGUGAUGCGACAAGCUGAGGACGCGAAAAGCGGGUUUAUUUUUUUUUUUUUAAUAAGUCAAAAGAAAAUAAAUAAGUAUGAAGUCAUUCCCGUUGCCAACUGUCAACACAGCUCUGAUGAUGAAGAUGAAGAAGACAGUUGUUGUUAUGGCAAAGGAAUUUACUACAAUUUCGUGACAGAUCAACGCCUUUUAGAUUUCGUAGAAGUAAUUUAAUAUAUGCAACUGUCACAGCAACAAACUCAAUCAAAUAAACGUGAAUAUGCGAGCUGAUUUCAGCUGAUUGAGUCAACAUAAUUUGCCAAUGGCCGGAAAUCGACUUCGGGCAAAAAUAAACA